CGGGAUGUAGCGCAGUCCGGCUAGCGCACCUGCUUUGGGAGCAGGGGGUCCCAGGUUCGAAUCCUGGUACCCCGA
rnacentral:tRNA from 1 species